CAGGCUUUCGGCGAUUCAUUUUUGGAAAGCUGAACAUCAAUCAAUCCACCCACCGUGUCCAUUCCGCUCUCGACCCGGCAGUCCGGCACCGCCCCGCUCCCUGCCCCGGGCCGCACUGUCUCUCCGUCCCCGGCGUCGUGCCGACGCUGCCUCCUCCCUCGCGACGCCGCCUCCCCCCGACGCCCUCCGCCCCAACUCGCGACCCUUGGGGCGCCGGCUCGGGGCCCUCGACCCCAACGCGCGGCCCUCGGGACGCCGCCCCGCCAUGACGCACGACCCUUAGGGUGCCGGCUCGGGGCCCUCGACCCCAACGCGCGGCGCCGCUCCGUCCCGCAGGCGCUCCAUGGCGGGUCCGCGCGCCGCACAGGGGCUACACAGCGGGCGGCGGCUCGGUGCCGCCGGCGCGCUGCUCCGCCUCCGCGAGGCGCGGGUGGACGGGCCUCCGGUUCUUCGCCAGGUGCGUGUCGUCGGCUCGUCGCUCCUCCCAUUCCUCUCCUACUGUCUAUUCCUCUCCUUUCUUGCUUGUUCUGGUCUGCAUCGAUUGAAGGUGUAACUGAUCUCAACGAUUCCAAAUUUUUGCUCAUCCUAAGAGAGACCACCCCUAUACUCCCAAGAUUUCUUUAAUAUUUAUAUGCGGUUUGGUUGAUCUGGUACCAUCUAAUGUUUUUACCUUGUGCUGUUUGUGAGCAUGCUUACUCACUGGCCCAGAAUUUAGAUCCAAAUAGUGAAGGGCAAGGAGUAUUGCAGUUCAAAACUGGUUCGAACUUCAAUGUCGGUAAUCAGGCUAAAAUUAGCGAAGAGGGAAGGUGGUGCUAUAGACCGAAGUUAGGAUAUUGCUAAACUGCAAGAUUUUUACAAGCUUUACAGAGAAAAGCAUAAAGCGGAUGAGUUGAUUGAAGAUGAAAUGAAGUUGAGGGAAUCAGCUGUAUUCAGCGGUAAUCUUGGAGAGUUGGAAAGGAAAACUCAGAAGUACUUGCAACGUUGAAGGUCUUAUGGUUAGUAAUAGAGGAUAAGACAAAGGAAAUUUCACUAGAGGAUGCAAAAAAUUAGAUAUCUGAACAGGUUUGUAUUCCUCUCCUUGAUAUUUUGUGUGCGUGCAGGAGGUUCUAGAUUUCGGGAGGAGCGUUCAAAGGUAACCAGCAAUAUCUCCAUCUAAUUUCAUUCUGGGUUUGUUGAUAUGUAUUUAGUGCGAGUCUUUUCGUCAGGCGAUGUGCAACUGCUCAUUAUCUGUAUGCAAGAUGUAGUCUGCUACAUCACUUUUAUUUUGCUAUAGAGAUUCAUCUGAACUUUUUACAUCAAUGGUUCUAUUAGAGAACUAACAUGAUAACUGAAUGGCUAAAAUUGGAUUUUGUUGGACAAAGUUGAUCGCUGGCCAUAAGAACCAGACAUGUCUUCUCCUCUUAAUGAGAAGUCUGUACUCACAUUUUUUCUUCCUGAUUUAUUAUGCUUUAUUUCCUGGUUCAGGUGCUCGGUAAUCUCAAUAUUUUGCUUGUUCUCAUGACAGCUGUUUGUUACCAUGUUAAUCUGAUGGAGCUAUGAGUGUGGAUUUUGUUCUGCACACCUGAAGCUACAGAAUUGAAAAGUUUGGCACCUUCAAGCUGUUUAUAUUCAGGCUAUAUUGGCCUGAAAUGUACAUAUUAUCAGUGAUUAUAUUAGGUUUUAAAGAUUUUCAGAGUGGAUUUUGGUACAGCUUAUAAAUCGUUCCAUGACUCGAAGGCGCACACAUUCUCUGCAAGCAGGACAUCUGUUCCAUAAAAACUGUUCACUUCCAACAUUUUUCUUACUUUUUAUGGAUGGUUACACACAUCAACCUUGAAGAGAAGACUAUUUAUGUUACAGAACAUCAAUAAAGGGAUGAGGCUUGGAAGUAUUAAUGGUUUGCGGUUCAAGCAGCUUAAGCUUGUCAUUCUUGCAUUUGUUAUUUUGUUUCUUCUUUGGAAAUGGGAGAAAGGCACAUACUAUGAUUCUGGAAUCCUUCAACCAGAUCCAUUGGUUUGACCAAUCCAGCUAACUCAAAGUUUGUAGAUCAGCAUACAUCUUCAGAAGAAGACUUUCCAAAUGCGGACCCAUUACCUCAAUCAGUAGUUAAAGUAGAAAAGCAAGUUACUGGUGCACCACCACCAUUGACUAUGGUAGGCUAUUCUGUUGACGUUGCAGAUGAAAAGGAAUUGCCGCCUCCUGAGAAGAAAGGUAUUUACUUAACCUGUGGCACUGCUAGAUAAACAAUGAAUUUAUUUCAUCUAGGAUAUUCCUCAUCUUAUCUACUGUUCACUCUACAUGUAUAUUAGUUGGCAUGUAACUACAGGAAUCUGAUGUUUGCUUCAUCUAUCAUAAUCCUAUAGAAUGUAA